UCAUGUUACACACGCCGCAGAAGUUUUUAUUGUUGAGCAAUAAUUACAGCUCUCUUUCAUGUUUUCACACUCUAGGUCUAAGGAGGGAAGGGAACGGGGCCUGUUAACCUUCAUGUGUGACCCAGAAGCCGUUUAUGGCUGGCCAGGUGCAAACGCCGUAUCUAAUCUCCCCGGUGUCUGCGGGGCAGGAGCUGCAGCGGUUGGAGGGACUUCGCGGCUAUCAGAUAUCAAGGAAAUGUCCGUGCCGGUGUUGUCCCAUUUCUGGGUAGCACAAGAAAUCCGUAAGCUGUUUUCCACUUCAACACAUGACAGAUCUACACUGAAUGCAUGCCUUGGACCCAGCAGACAGCGUCUCAGCCAUCUCGUCAUGGAGACUGGGGCCAGCGCGGCGGCAGGACUCACCUAUGGACAAGUGUUGCAAACAUUGCUCUUAAUUCUGGAAGCCGGGUUCAGACGAUGGGAACCACUAAAUCCUCCUGUACUCACGCCGCCUUCAACAGUCUCAGAAGUGGACUAAGCAUCAGUGACAUGAAGAAUCUGGGAAGAGACCAUCGACCGUCCGUUUGCCUCUGCCCCUGUACUCGUCAUUCCCCAGCUCCACAUCCCCUGGGAGUAUGGAAGAGACCUGAGUCACUUCAGCAACAGUUUGGAAGUAGAUCCUUUCACAAAGGCUUGGAAAACCACAAGUUUCAAUUGCAAGCUCGCGAUACACGGGGUAGGAUGUCACCUUGUGAUGCCAGGCAGCGGCGACAAGCUUCCGCCCCCUCCCAGUCAGUCCCGCGAUCAUGACGGCUCUUCCAAGCCACUCGAAGACUGUUACAACUGAACACUCACCGCACGAAUCCCGUGUUUGAAUACUGGUGUUCAAGGGCACAGGAUCUGAACUUGAACCCAGAUUAGACACUGAGGGUUUGAAUGCGCAGCCUGAUAUUUACCAGUUCUGUUAUUAUACAUCGGUAUUUGGGUUAAAACAUCUUUACCUUCAGGGACUGGAAGGCUGAUGUCUCCUGGGCCACAGCCUGGCUCUUUCGAGGGCUCCUGUUGUCCCAGCUGAUGCCACUUUCUGCGAGUGCACCUUCAGCUCGGAAAAGGAGUGAGCCCAAAGUAAGGGGGGCCAUGUGGAGCCUGCGGGGGAGGCAGGGCAAGGAGAGCCAGGUGAUCUGUCCUUCCUUUGAACUGCUAGAACUUACUGCCUGUAAUGCUUAGUCUGUAAGGAUGGCAUGACGUCAUUCUAUCGUCCCUUGGGAUUUGGUGUGAACCUAGGGUACCACGGCGAUAAUACUGUCCCCCUGCUGCCCUUCCAUGGUUGGGCUGGGAUGAGCAGAAGUAGGGUGGGUACUGCCCCACCUUUUCCAAGCUGCUUCUCUAUCCUCUCACUGUCACGGCAGUCCUGUGUUCAGUAGCACUCUGGCUGCAGAGAAGCCCAAAAGAUGGGACCGAACCUGUAGGACCCAUUCCAGGGGCGUGCCAAAGCCACUGAACAGGGGAGGGGGCGUCUCCCUGGCUUGUAGCCCUCCAGACGCAGCCAAUUUGACAUUCCAAGCCCUUGCUCCUGUGGACUAAGUCCCCCAGAGCCUGCGGGCAACACCUCUUCCCCUGAAGCUCCAGCUCAUUAAAGGAGAGAUUCUUAGCUCUGAAACAUACAGUACGCCUCGGCAAGUGUGCGGAUUGGCUG